rnacentral:rRNA from 1 species
AUUAAUAAUUAUUAUAUUUAAUAAAAAUAAUUUUAAUUUAAUAAAUAUUUUAAUGGGGGUUAAAGUAUUAUUUAAAGAAAAAAUUUUUAAAUUUAUAGUUAAUUAGUAUUGUGAAAGAAUUUUGAAAUAUUAUGAAAAUUAAAAUUUUAGUAAAGUAAUUUUUAUUUAUUGUAUCUUGUGUAUCAGAGUUUAUUAAAAAUUUUUAAUUUAUAAAUUAAUUUCUCGAAUUUAAAAGAGUUAAAUAAUUAUUAAAGUUAUUGUAGCAAAAUUAUUUUAAAUAAUUAUUUAGAAAUGAAAUGUUAAUCGUUUUUAAAUAUAUCUAGUUUUUAUAGAAAAAAAUUUAAUUUUAAAUUUUUAUAUUAUUUAAUUAAUUUAUUAAUUAAAUAAUUAUAAAAAUUUUAUAAUUUAAGGGAUAAGCUUUAAAUUAGAUUUUUAUAAUAUUAAAUUUUUAUUUUGAAAAUUUUAUAAUUUAUAUUGUUAAUAAAUUUUAUUUUAUUAUAAAUAAUUUCAUUUUUUUUAAAAUUUAAAUUUUAUUUAAUUUUUUAUAUAAAAUUUAUUUAUAAUUAUAUAAAUUUAAUUAUAAUGAUAAAAUUAGUAUAUUAUUUAAUAUAAAAUUAAAAUUAAUUUUUAAUUAAUAAUUAAAUUAAUUAAAAGGAAUUCGGCAAAUAUUUAUUUUCACUUGUUUAUCAAAAACAUGUCUUUUUGUUUUUAAUUUAAAGUCUAAUCUGCCCACUGAUUUAAAAAAAUUGAAGGGCUGCAGUAUAUUGACUGUACAAAGGUAGCAUAAUCAUUAGUCUCUUAAUUGGUGACUUGUAUGAAAGAUUGGAUGAAAAAUAUACUGUCUCUUAAUUAAUAUGUAGAAUUUAAUUUUUUAUUUAAAAAGUUAAAAUAAUUUAAAAAGACGAGAAGACCCUAUAGAGUUUAAUAAGUUUUUUUGUAAGAGUUUUAUUUAUAAUUAUUAAUAAUUUUAUAAAUUUUUUUAUUUUAUUGGGGUGAUAAAAAAAUAAAUUUAACUUUUUUUAAAUAAUUUACAUAAAUAAAUGAUUAAU